CCCGCGGCCGCAUCCGUGCGGCGCGGGGCCGAGUGCGGAGCUGCCUCUUCGUCCCGUGCCUGUCGGAGAGGAUCGAGUCCGGAUGCGGGGCGUCUGCCGGUACUAGAGGAGAGCAGGAAAAGGGGCUUCCGGGGAGGAGCAUAAGCAAAGCACAUGCAGUGCAAGUAAGUGCCUAGAGCUGUUGGCUUUUCCAGUUUCAAGCCCUGAACAGAGGAAUAUAUACUGCGAUGUGAUUUAUUUUGGUUUUGUAAAUGGAUGCAAAUUACAUCAGGAUCAGAAGCAGACAGAUGUGCAGCUACCAAGAGAACUCGCCUGGCACAGCUUUCUAAAUUGGACUUUUGCUGAUCAAACUUGAGCUAGACUUCCCUAAAUACCUAACUGAAACUGUGUAAUAUUGUAACUGUUUUAUUUGUCUCUCUCAUAUGGCUAUUACUAUUGGUUUCAUCAUAAGUUCAUACACCUGGCAUUAAAUAACUUUU